rnacentral:tRNA from 1 species
ACAUUCGUAGUUCAGUGGUAGAACUCUUGCAUUGCAUGCAGAAGACCCAGGUUCGAUUCCCAGCCAAGGUA